GCGAAUGGAUUAAGAGCUUGCUCUUAUGAAGUUAGCGGCGGACGGGUGAGUAACACGUGGGUAACCUGCCCAUAAGACUGGGAUAACUCCGGGAAACCGGGGCUAAUACCGGAUAACAUUUUGAACUGCAUGGUUCGAAAUUGAAAGGCGGCUUCGGCUGUCACUUAUGGAUGGACCCGCGUCGCAUUAGCUAGUUGGUGAGGUAACGGCUCACCAAGGCAACGAUGCGUAGCCGACCUGAGAGGGUGAUCGGCCACACUGGGACUGAGACACGGCCCAGACUCCUACGGGAGGCAGCAGUAGGGAAUCUUCCGCAAUGGACGAAAGUCUGACGGAGCAACGCCGCGUGAGUGAUGAAGGCUUUCGGGUCGUAAAACUCUGUUGUUAGGGAAGAACAAGUGCUAGUUGAAUAAGCUGGCACCUUGACGGUACCUAACCAGAAAGCCACGGCUAACUACGUGCCAGCAGCCGCGGUAAUACGUAGGUGGCAAGCGUUAUCCGGAAUUAUUGGGCGUAAAGCGCGCGCAGGUGGUUUCUUAAGUCUGAUGUGAAAGCCCACGGCUCAACCGUGGAGGGUCAUUGGAAACUGGGAGACUUGAGUGCAGAAGAGGAAAGUGGAAUUCCAUGUGUAGCGGUGAAAUGCGUAGAGAUAUGGAGGAACACCAGUGGCGAAGGCGACUUUCUGGUCUGUAACUGACACUGAGGCGCGAAAGCGUGGGGAGCAAACAGGAUUAGAU
rnacentral:rRNA from 1 species